GACGUAGGGGGCCAGCGUUGUUCGGAAUUACUGGGUGUAAAGGGUUCGUAGGCGGUGCGGCAAGUUGGGAGUGAAAUCUCUGGGCUUAACCCAGAGGCUGCUUCCGAAACUGCUGUGCUUGAGUGUGGGAGAGGCGCGUGGAAUUGCAGGUGUAGCGGUGAAAUGCGUAGAUAUCAGGAGGAACACCGGUGGCGAAGGCGGCUUGCUGGGCCAGUUCUGACGCUGAGGAGCGAAAGCGUGGGGAGCGAACAGG
rnacentral:rRNA from 1 species